UGAGCUUUGGGGUUUUUUGAAAAUUUUCAUCAUAUCUAUUUAAUAUAUUUAAAUACAAGUCACCAGACCGACCAGCUUAAGCAGCUGGCAACACCUUCGUUUGCAAACCUCUUAAACUUUGUUGCACAUCACUGAUGCCUUAGCGGUUUGAAAAUUACCUUGUAACAGGGAAUGGAACUCGCUCUCAUUGAUUUUAAACCUAGUGUGCAUUUUAACCACCCUAGUGCGAGAAGUCCACGCUACAUGCAUUACAAGUUCAGGUGCAGCGAAGUCAAAGCAUUACUCGUGUAUUGAAAAGGUAGUUUCUCAUAAGGCAAAUCAUGCUAUGCACAUUGGUGUUGCAACUGCAGGUUAUGUAAGGAUGGUAUGUGAAAGUGUUCAGCAUAAUUAAGUUAAACUUUAAUGGAUAAACAAGUCAAUUGCAUGUUGUCAAAGACUUUUGGUGAAGUCUGACUCACAGCAUCGUCUAAAAUAUGUUCUCUUAAAUGUUCGAAGGUCCCGUGUCAACAGAACCAUGCCCCGGAAAUGAUCUGGGAUCGCUUACAUGGAGAAAACCUAGUAAAAUUGCCGUAAGAUACACGUAAAGUAUUCAGAGUGAACAAGGGCAAAACGAUGCGUAAGCGUCACCACAACAAGUUAUGGUUUAGCUCUUCGACGCUGGAAUUUAAACACAGCUCAACAUUCACAAUGAGAUGUCUGCAAUCUGGACUAAAGCAGAGACCAGGGAGCUCCUCGCUAUACGUGCUGCUAAAGCUGAGAUCAUUCACAUGCAUGACAGAGCAGCGCAUCACGCGCUCCUCAUGAUCUCCCAAAAACUAUGAGUUCCGAAUAACUGCCAAACUUCAGAAGCGUCGAAAAGACAAGCACGUGCAGGACUUUACAUGCAUCACACGUCUUUACGGCUUUUCACAGUAAGCAUGACUCCGAAAAAUCAUUGGCAGAAUAAAUGGCCCAAAAUUUAAUGAUUCCAGACAAAUCCUGGAAGUUUUUCUGUGUAGUAUCAUAAUCUCUCUGUGAGAAGGGCAAUUGAUGGCGUCGGCUAUCAUUGAUAAUAUGGUCUAUUGACAUAACCUGAUCCCGCACCUUCUAGUUUCAAGAUGUUAAUAACACUUCAGUCAAGACACUAAGCAUUCAAUUGCGUAUUGUCCGUUCAGAUUUAGUUUAUACAGCUUAGAUUAAUUUACUUCCAUUUUACUAACCUUUCUAGUCUAUAAUUAUUAAUCUUAAAAUUCAAAAACCAUAAAUUCUUUCUCAAUCAGUUUCAUGUUAAUUGUUAUGAUUCUGUUUUCCUAGGUAAUUUUUCUGCCAUUAUUAUGCUUGCAAUUCAAAGCCAUAGCCAAAAUCCCAUCUUUUACUACAUAAAUACUUCGAAAAGUUAAUACACUUGAAAUGCAAAGUUUCAUCAGUUUUCUAUAGUUUUAAGCUGCAUAAUGAUCACGGUAUGAUCAAGCAUAUACUGGUGGUGGUGUAGGUUACUCAACCAUGUCUCAUUUCUCGCUAAAUUAAUCUGUGGCAUAGCGUGCUUUAUCGGAAUAUUGUUGCUUUUCAUCACAGCCUCCGACAUGGCAUUCACAGCCUCCGACAUGGCAUUCGCAGCCUUUCUCACUAUAGGGUAUAUUGUUGCCCCAUUGCAUGGCUCUCGUGACCUCCUUGCUGCGUGGCCUAUCAUUGCCCUAUAUCCAGCAUUCACAGUCGUCUGCUAUACUGCAAACUGUUGACUUGUAUCAUGGCCUUCUCGCUAAUCAGCAUAUCAUUGCCUUAUCAUGGGCUCCCGCUCGUUUUUCGCCAUGUAACUUAUGGUUUAUCUGUAUCACGGCCUCCUCGUUACUUUGCAUAUGGUUACAUUGUGUCAUGGAUACCACAACCGACUUAUUACAUUGCAUAUGUUGCCCCGCAUCUAUCCUCCACAGCCUUUAUAAUGAGUCGGCAUAUCGUUGCCCCGCAUCAUUGCCUUCGCGGUCUUCACGCUACAUGGGAAGUCGUUGCCCUGUAACAGGCUUUGUCGCAUACAGCAUAUCAUUGCCCCGCAUUUACCCUCCGCUGCCUUUAUCGCUAUUUGGCAUAUCAUUGCCCCGUAUCUGUGCCUUCACGGUCUUCACACUAAAUUGCAAAACGUUGCCCUGUAAGUGUUCUCCACGGCCUUCUCGCCUAUCGGGGCUAUCGAUCAACAUGGCCUAUCGUGGCUUUACACAUCGCCUAUCGGGGCUAUCGAUCAGCGUGGCCUAUCGUGGCUUUACACAUCGCCUAUCGGGGCUAUCGAUCGACGUGGCCUAUCGUGGCUUUACACAUCGCCUAUCGGGGCUAUCGAUCGACGUGGCCAAUCGUGGCUUUACACAUCGCCUAUCGGGGCUAUCGAUCGACGUGGCCAAUCGUGGCUUUACACAUCGCCUAUCGGGGCUAUCGAUUGACGUGGCCUAUCGUGGCGUUACAUAUAUUGCCCAUCGGGGCUACCUAUCCACGUAUAGCCUACCGUGGCACUUUACGACGAAGCAUUUUGUAAUUCUUAUCCUAAUCCUUUUGUGUGAAUCAGACAUUAAAGUGAAUGCCUAUGCCUAUCGUGGCUUAAUUUUUGGGGGGGUUCCAAUAAAUAGCUUUUAUAGCUUAAGAAGUCUGAUUCCUUAACAUUUUCUCUUGUUUCAGGAUUGACAUCUCUUCGAUUUCCUAGCAAUCAAGCCAGUUGAUCUAUUUCACUUUUGGGGGUAGGCUCCGCCCCUGCCUUCAACAUCAGGCAGGAUCUGCCGGACUACAGCUAGACCCGGACGAAAGGCGGGGCAUACGCCAAAAUAAUCUAUACGAGACUCAAGCAUCCAUUUAAUUGAGUCUGAUUUGAAUUUCUGUCUUUUAAUUCAACAUGGAAUAAAUGUCAUUCAAACGUUCACUUGCCUUCUGAGUCUUUAUGGUAGAAAUGAAAGCGUCAGCGUGUCGUAGCUGAAGUUCGCCUCCAUCCUCCCCACCACCACCAGGUUGUUCCCUGUUCUUUUGUCCGGGGGUAGGCUCCGCCCCUGCCUUCAACAUCAGGCAGGAUCUGCCGGACUACAGCUAGACCCGGACGAAAGGCGGGGCAUACGCCAAAAUAAUCUAUACGAGACUCAAGCAUCCAUUUAAUUGAGUCUGAUUUGAAUUUCUGUCUUUUAAUUCAACAUGGAAUAAAUGUCAUUCAAACGUU